GACGAACGCUGGCGGCGUGCUUAACACAUGCAAGUCGAGCGGUAAGGCCACUUCGGUGGUACACGAGCGGCGAACGGGUGAGUAACACGUGAGUAACCUGCCCCUGACUCUGGGAUAAGCGGUGGAAACGACGUCUAAUACUGGAUAUGACUGCCGGCCGCAUGGUCUGGUGGUGGAAAGAUUUUUUGGUUGGGGAUGGACUCGCGGCCUAUCAGCUUGUUGGUGAGGUAAUGGCUCACCAAGGCGACGACGGGUAGCCGGCCGGAGAGGGUGAGCGGCCACACUGGGACUGAGACACGGCCCAGACUCCUACGGGAGGCAGCAGUGGGGAAUAUUGCACAAUGGGCGAAAGCCUGAUGCAGCAACGCCGCGUGAGGGAUGACGGCCUUCGGGUUGUAAACCUCUUUUAGUAGGGAAGAAGCGAAAGUGACGGUACCUGCAGAAAAAGCACCGGCUAACUACGUGCCAGCCGCCGCAGUAAAAC
rnacentral:rRNA from 1 species